rnacentral:rRNA from 1 species
AAUUCGCCCUUAGAGUUUGAUCCUGGCUCAGAAUGAACGCUGGCGGCGUGCUUAACACAUGCAAGUCGAACGAUGAAGCCUAGCUUGCUAGGUGGAUUAGUGGCGCACGGGUGAGUAAUAUAUAGAUAACGUGCCUCUUAGUCUGGGAUAGCCAUUGGAAACGAUGAUUAAUACUAGAUACUCCUUCUCUUUAUAAUUAGAGUUGGGAAAGUUUUUCGCUAAGAGAUCGGUCUAUAUCCCAUCAGCUUGUUGGCAGUGUAAGAGACUACCAAGGCAAUGACGGGUAGCGGGUUUGAGAGGAUGAUCCGCCACACUGGUACUGAGACACGGACCAGACUCCUACGGGAGGCAGCAGUGAGGAAUAUUGCACAAUGGAGGAAACUCUGAUGCAGCAACGCCGCGUGGAGGAUGACGCAUUUCGGUGUGUAAACUCCUUUUAUA